rnacentral:rRNA from 1 species
CCAGCCGCUGCGGUAAUUCCAGCUCCAAUAGCGUAUAUUUAAGUUGUUGCAGUUAACAAGCUCGUAGUCGGUUUUCGGGCGGGCUGCGCCGGUCUGCCUUUGGUAUGCACUGGCGUGACCCGCUUUUCUGCCGGUGACGGGCUCCUGGGCUUUACUGUCCGGGACCCGGAGUCGGCGCUGUUACCUUGAGUAAAAUGGAGUGUUCAAAGCAGGCAUACGCUCUGAACAUAUUAGCAUGGAAUAACGAUAUAGGACUCUGGCCUAUUCGUUGGUCUGUGGGACCGGAGUAACGACCAAUGGGGGCAGUCGGGGGCAUUCGUAUUUCGUUGUCAGAGGUGAAAUUCUUGGAUUUACGAAAGACGAACUGCUGCGAAAGCGUUUGCCAAGGAUGCUUUCGUCGAUCAAGAACGAAAGU